UAGAUUCCCCUCCCCUCCCAGAGCUGGGGAGAGAAGCCAGGAGUCCUGGCUCCCAGCCUGCCCCCCGCAACCACUAGGCGCCACUGCCCUCCCGCGCCGGUCUCUGGGGCUGAUGCCAUGGGGGGCUGGGGGCUCGGGGCUGGGGCCAGCCGGGCGCUGCCGAUCCGCCCCCGGGGGGGGGAGGAGAGAGUUAACCACAGGGCCGGCUGCUCCUUGGAUGCCAGCCCAGCUCUGUUCUUGUUACCCACAAUCCUUCAUUCCUCCCCCCCCCCCUUCUCUGGCACCGACCGGAUCCCUGGCACCGAGCUCGGCCGCGCCCGGGACCCAGCCGGAGCCCUCGGGCCCAUCCUGGGGAGAUUUCAGGUUAAUUGAACAGCGCUGGAACAUAAUUUAAUAUUGAGUGAGUUUUUAAUUAUUUUUUUACAUUUAAUUAGCAAUGCUUAAACAUAGUUUAUAUUACUAUAGAGCAUGUUUAUCCGUUAGAAUACAUUUGUAAUAUAAAACCAAAAAUGAAAUAUAGGAUUAUAUUAUAUUAUAUUUAUUAACUAUCCUUAAACA